rnacentral:rRNA from 1 species
AGAGUUUGAUCAUGGCUCAGAACGAACGCUGGCGGCGUGCCUAACACAUGCAAGUCGAACGAGAAAGGGCUUCGGCCCGAGUACAGUGGCGGACGGGUGAGUAACGCGUGGGUAAUCUGCCCUUGGGCGGGGGAUAACCUUCCGAAAGGAGGGCUAAUACCGCAUAAGACCACGCCCCUUCGGGGGAGUGGCCAAAGAUGGCGGAUCUUCGGACCUGUCACCUGAGGAUGAGCCCGCGUACCAUUAGGUAGUUGGUGGGGUAACGGCCUACCAAGCCUGAGAUGGUUAGCUGGUCUGAGAGGAUGAUCAGCCACACUGGGACUGAGACACGGCCCAGACUCCUACGGGAGGCAGCAGUGGGGAAUAUUGCGCAAUGGGGGCAACCCUUGACGCAGCAACGCCGCGUGUGUGAAGAAGGCCCUCGGGUCGUAAAGCACUGUCGAGUAGAACGAGCCGGCAGAGGUUAAUAGCCUCUGCCCCGACGGUACUACUUGAGGAAGCACCGGCUAACUCCGUGCCAGCAGCCGCGGUAAUACGGAGGGUGCGAGCGUUGUUCGGAAUUAUUGGGCGUAAAGCGCGCGCAGGCGGGACGUUAAGUCCGAUGUGAAAUCCCUCGGCUCAACCGAGGACGGGCAUUGGAUACUGGCGUUCUUGAAUCCUGGAGAGGGUGGCGGAAUUCCCAGUGUAGAGGUGAAAUUCGUAGAUAUUGGGAGGAACACCAGCGGCGAAGGCGGCCACCUGGACAGUGAUUGACGCUGAGGCGCGAAAGCAUGGGUAGCAAACAGGAUUAGAUACCCUGGUAGUCCAUGCCGUAAACGAUGGGUACUAGUUGGUGCGGGUAUUGACCCCUGCGCUGACGCAGCUAACGCAUUAAGUACCCCGCCUGGGGAGUACGGCCGCAAGGCUAAACUCAAAGGAAUUGACGGGGGCCCGCACAAGCGGUGGAGCAUGUGGAU